rfam:Postia placenta Mad-698-R POSPLscaffold_82_Cont4141, whole genome shotgun sequence.
UGCCCCAUGGCUGAGUUGGUUACAGCGUCCGACUGUUAAGCGAUGUCGUUCAUUACAUGUGGACCACGCAAUGGCAUCGGAAGGUCGUGAGUUCGAGCCUCACUGGGGCAG